CAACAGUCAUGUAAAAUAAGGUGCAUGACUGUUGUGGACAAAGAUACUAACCCAAUCCAUGUUGGUAAAAUGCCUAUUUACUCAGUAUAACUACAAUAAGCAUUAUUCAACUUUAUAUGUGAUUUACCUAAAAAUGGCCGUUAGGGAGUUUCCCCUUGACAUCGACUAACACCCUCAUUAACAAGAUGGCGCUGGAAUCUGGGGGAGACCUCCAAGCUAUCAGUGACAUCACACCCGGUAGGAAGAGCAAUAAAAUGGACCACUUAACACCUAACCAAUUAUUGAUGUAUUAUUCCAUGUUAUCUCUGAC